ACAAUUUUAGCAGGAGCUUGUCUUUAGAUGAGAUCCUGCGAAAAAUCAAUCACCUUUUGUGCACUGUCUGUCUCUGGCGGCCGGGGCAAAGUAACCUUCGUCUAGGUUGCAUAGCUCUGUCAGCUUGGUGCACUUGUGGACCAGGCCGUGGACAAACCGCCAACCAUUUUGUUUAACUCCCUGUUUUAAUCUCCUGUCUAACAAUUUUCUUUGUAUUAAACAUACAAUA
rnacentral:misc_RNA from 1 species